GUGCUCGUUUCGGCAGCACAUGUGCUAAAAUUGGAACAAAACACAGAAGUUUCGCAUGGGCCCUGCGCAAGGACGACACACAAGUUCGUGAAGCGUUCCAUAUUUAA